AUUGAACGCUGGCGGCAGGCCUAACACAUGCAAGUCGAGCGAGCGGCACGCGUGAGUGAAAUGUAUGGGGCUCUGCCCGAGAGAGGGGGAUACAUUCUGGAAAGUGUGGCUAAUACCGCAAAACAUCGGAUGCCCCUAUAUGGGAUUAGCUGGGAGGUGGGGUAAAGGCUCACCUAGGCGACGAUCUCUAGCUGUUCUGAGAGGAGGACAAGCCACACUGGGAAUGAGAAACGGCCCAGACUCCUACGGGAGGCAGCAGUGGGGAAUAUUGGACAAUGGGCGAAAGCCUGAUGCAGCCAUGCCGCGUGUAUGAAGAAGGCCUUAGGGUUGUAAAGUACUUUCAGCGGGGAGGCGUUACCUGCAGAAGAAGCACCGGCUAACUACGUGCCAGCAGCCGCGGUAAUUC
rnacentral:rRNA from 1 species